UUCACCUGCCUCUGCCUCCCGAGUGCUGGGAUUAAAGGUGUGUGCCACCACUGCCCCGCCUUACUGGAUUUCUAAUGCUUCCCGUUUUGGUUUAAACAAAAAGAUUCAGAGUCAAAAAUGUUGGACAGUCAGCCUUCUCAGGAGGUGCGAAGUGGUGACCGAUGCCAGGACUUGGAAUAGUUGGGCUGCUCCGAGUGCCCUUAAAUCCACGCUUUUUGCCCCAUCUCUCUAAAAAGGAACAGGCAAUUGUUACCUACCUGCUGGGGUUGUUUCUUAGAUGAUAGGACUUGAAACACAGUGAGUACUUGCUGACAAAUGUGCUGGUGAAGACCCAGCUCAUCCUUGGUGUGUAUUGUCAUUUUCUUAAGAACUGAACUUGUUCCAGGCAGUGGUGGCUCAUGCCUUCAAUCCCAGCACUCGGGAGGCAGAGGCAGACAGAUCUCUGUGGGUUCGAGGCCAUACUGGUCUACAGAUCAAGUUCCAAAACAACCAGGACUGUUACACAGAAAAACCCUGUCUCAAAAAACCAAGAGCUGGUUCUCUCCUUCCAUCCAUGGGGAUGGAACUCAAGUUGUCAAGCUUGGUAGCAAGCACUUCUGCUGAGCUGCAUCUGGAGCCCCUUGCUAGGUUUUAAAAUCUUUAUCACCAUUGUUAUUACUACUUCUAUUAUUAUUUAUGUGUGUUGGUGUUUUACCUGCAUAUGUGUCUGUGUAUGACGUGUGUGCAGGGCUUUCAGAGGCCAGAAGAGAGUGUCAGAUCCCCUGGAAUUGGAGUUACAGGUGGUUGUGGGCCACACCAUGUUGGUACUGGGACUCGAACUCAGGUCCUCUAGAAAAGCAGCAAGUUCUCGAACCAUGCAGCCAUGUCUCUAGCACCUAGCUGUUUUUAGAAUACCUCUGUCAUCAAUGCCACUAACAUGUGCUGGCCUCAGUUCUGGGGCUUUGCAAAAGGUUCAGCAGAUGAUGCUGUUCUUUGACGCAAGGAAUUUGUAUUGCGUUUUCUAUCUGCAUGGAGCUCUAGAUCUUUUUUUUUUUUUUUUUAAUUGUGUCUUCCUGUUUCUAAAUCUAAGAAAAUAUGAUCAAUGGAAGUGCUUGCUUAUAGAAAAUCGAAACUAGGAAUCCCAAACAAUAUUUGUAUACAACUAUUGAGGAAUGAAUUUAUGGGAUCCAAACCAUUACAAAGCACUUUUGCUUUUGUGGGACAUUUGACUGUCACCUCUCCAUGCUCUGUCUUUCCCCACAGCUGGCUGAACAGGCAGGUCCUAGGCAGUUAAGACUCGGGAUUAGCAUUUUUAUUGUCUCAUUCCACAGCUAGACCAAACCUUUGAAGUUCUUAUUGACUGAUGAUGCCAAGAUUCCAUGGAAGUAUAAGAUGAUUUAUUAUGGAAUCCCAGCCCCUUCUCCAGCAAGCCUGGGGUACAGGGCAAGUUGCAGCUGUCUGUCUUACUUGCUAGUGACCCAUGUGAGGAUGUGGCAGGGCUGUUUGUCUCUUGAGAACAGAAUAUUGUCCUUCAAGGUAGUCUGGGCUUCUAGGAUUAGAACCUUUUGGAGCUAGCCAGCUUACCUUCACUCUCCUCAAUUCCAGUUUUAUUUAUUUUUUUAAUUUUAACAAACACCUCUCACCCCUGAAGUGUGUGCGUGUCUGUGUGUGUGUGUAGUACUAGGGCUCAGACCAAGGGAUGCAAGCGUGCUAAGCAUGCUGCUUCCCACUCAACUACAUUCCCAGCCCCCCAUUCUAGUUUUUUAAUGGAGUUGAUUAUGGGAUGCCAAUGCCUUAUGAUUAGUGAUUACAGCACCCAGAUAACCAGGAAGAGCUCAGCUGAAUAACUUGCAGGUAGUAGGUGGAGAAUCCAGAACUGUCAUGUACAGGUACAUUGAAGACAGAAGAAGAUAGCCCUGCCAGCUACUCUGGAGGCCCUGGACAGUGGCAUGAGAGGUGGAAGAGGGAGAACAUAAGCCCUGAGAGGCAGAGAGGCUCCUUCCCUUUAGCCUCACUUCUCUGCAGGUGUGCACUAGCAUAUCGCUUGAUUCUGUCCUGUGACUCUGAAAAGGCUUCAACAGAACAUGCUGGUUUAUAAUCAAAGGAAUUUUCAAUCGGAUUAUAUUUCUAUCUGCAAGGAAAUAACUGAAGGUAGAUAUGGUGGUUUGAAUGAGAAUGGCCCCCAUAGGCUCAUAUUUGAAUGCUUAGUCUCAGGGAGUGGUACUAUAUGAAAGGAUUAGAAGAAUUAGGAGGUAUGGCCUUAUUGGAGGAAGUGUGUCAGUGGGGGUGGGGCUUUAAGGUUUCAAAAGCUCAUACCAGGCUUUCUUGGAUCAGGAAGUAGCUCUCAGCUACUGCUCCAGUGCCUGCCUGCAUGCUGCCACACUCCCUGUCAAGAGGAUAAUGGACUAAGCUUCUGGAGCUGUAAGCAAUUCCCUAAUUAAAUGCUUUCUUUCAUAAGAGCUACCUUGGUCACAGUGUCUCUUCACAGCAAUAGAACAUUGACUAAGAUAAAGACCUAAAAGAGCCCCCUACUUGCCCUCCUCACCUCCUCCUCCCCACCUGCCACACACAUCUCUCUGAGGCAGGGCCACAAAGUCUGUGAGACUCAAAUAGACUCAGAGCCAAAUCCCAGAAAAUCUACCAAGUAUUUCCUAUCUAUUGUAAAAUUCCUGGGAUCCAGGCUGACCAGACCACUCAGAAGGUACAGGUGAUUACAACCUGAUGAUACAGGCCUGGUAACCUGAGUUCCAUCCCCUAUACCUGCCUGGAGACGGAAGGAGGUAACUGUCUCCACAGAGUUAUCCUCUUACUCUCACAUGUGUUCGGUGUCAUGCGUGUACCCAUAUACAUACAUUCUACAUCCUCACACACAGUUGGAAAUAAAAAUAGUGCACACCUUUAAUCCCAGCACUGGGGAGGCAAAGGCAGGUGGAUCUUUGAGUUUGAGGCCAGCCUGGGCUAUAGAAUGAGUUCCAGGACAGCCAGGGAAGUUAUACAGAGAAACUCUGUCUACAAGCAAACAAACCCCCAGCACUCAGAAGGUAGAGGCAGGAGGAUGUUGCAGGCCAACCAGAGCUAAGUGAGGCCCGGUCUCAAACAACAAAACCUCUAUGAUCCAAGAUCUCAGGUCUUGCAGCAGCCAGUGUCCUUCCUGAAAGGCUACUAACCAGGUCUGGGCCUAGAAUUUGGGCCAGAGCAAAGUGACAAUACUGGUAUUUUUGCUAUUAAUUUGAUGGAUGGUAGAUGUCAGGAUCUUUUUUUAAAAAAAAUCAUCCAGAAUCUACACCCUUUUAAACAAAGCAGGGCACAGACGUGUUUAGCACAUUUCGUGUGAGGCUAUAUUAGCUCUUAACCACUGAGUCAUCAUCCUAGUCCCUUACUGAGCACCAUGGGAUGGGGGUUUGAGGAGAUCCAAAGUCAUUUUCUCAAGUCCAUAGUUCCAAAAUAGUCUUGUCUUGUAGGGGAAGCUGCCUGCUUAGGGGUGUGCCUGACCACGCCUUCAAGGGUGUGGUCAGGGUGAUGUAGAGUGAGAGGUUCAGGUGGCUGGGUUUUCAGUUUCGGUUUCACACUUUUCGGCUUGCUGGACAGACUGCUGCCACGACAGCUAGGUCGCUCUGUGGAUGACUGGAUCAAGAGACAAGACAAGAUUAAGAGAGAAACAAUUUGAUUUAUUAGGAAGAACUGUAAGGCCAAAGAACAAGGGAUUGGAACUCUGUCUUUAUCUGUAUUUAUUCAAUAAUCAUGGGUUGAGAACUGUGCCAUUGCUGACUAGUAAUGGUUAAAAACAGACAAAAUUACUGCCUUUAUGGAAGUUGUAUUUUGGAGUAGGAAAACAGUAUAACUUAAGAGGUCCUGGAAAGAUACCUGGAUCAAAAUAUCUGCCUGGCCACCAGCAUCAGGUCAUAUGCACCUGCUGUAUUGUUUCUCAAGAGCUCCAAGGGAGCCAUGUAGGAACAAACAUUUAAGUGACAAGAUGCCCUGUCGGUAUUAAUGAUCCAGGAAGAGUGGACUUGAGUGGGUUCCAGAGCUGGCUGAGGAGGCUCCUGCAGAAAGACAAGGCUUGUGAAAGGCACUGCCAGUGCAGUAAGAUCCGUAAGACCUACCCCAUCUGAAAAGUAUUAGUUUGUCUUGGUGGAAGAUGGAAAUCUUUAGCUCUCUCCUUCUGAAGGUCAAUUGUUUGAAGAGAUGAUGCUAUAAUCUGGGCAUUCCUGAGGGACGUGUCUGUGGCCUUCUCAAUUGUUUCUACAGUGGUCAUCUCACUUAGGACAUGUACAAGAAAUGAGUAAGCGUCAGUAGAAGCCCACUGGAGGAUACAUACAGACCUUAACUAAUAUAGUAUACAACCUCUUGUUCACAUUAAAAGAAUAUAUUAUAAACUGAGACAAGAUCUCACUUUGCAGGCCUUGCUUGCCUGGAACUUGCUAUGUGUGCCAGAGUGCCUUGAACUCACAGAGACCCACCUGCUUCAGCCCCCAAAUGCUGGGGGUAAAGGCAUAUGCCACCAUCCCUAGCUAAGAUUAUUUUUUUACUUAUGUGUAUUUUGUGUGAAUUCAGCAUGUGUAUGGGUGCCCUCUGGGGCCAGAAGAGGACUGUGGGUCCCUUGGAUGGUUGUGAGCCACCUGCUAUGAGUGCUGGGAAUCAAACCCGGGGCCUUUGGAAAAACAGCAAACACUCCUAACCACUGGGCCAUAUCUCCAACCCCCACCCAAUCCCUCCACCUCCCACACACUGUCCUUUCAAACAGCCAUUUAACUGUCAGAGCCCUCUAGGUCCCUUAAGUGACUAAGGCUUUGCUGACUUUCCUGCAUGCAUCUCCUUUUCAGUUACACCUCCAUCCUGGCUUUCUGAAACUUGCAAAGGAAUU